CAGCCGCCGCGGUAAAACGAAGGGGGCUAGCGUUGUUCGGAAUUACUGGGCGUAAAGCGCACGUAGGCGGAUAUUUAAGUCAGGGGUGAAAUCCCGCAGCUCAACUGCGGAACUGCCUUUGAUACUGGGUAUCUUGAGUAUGGAAGAGGUUAGUGGAAUUGCGAGUGUAGAGGUGAAAUUCGUAGAUAUUCGCAGGAACACCAGUGGCGAAGGCGGCUAACUGGUCCAUAACUGACGCUGAGGUGCGAAAGCGUGGGGAGCAAAUGGGAUUAGAUACCCGCGUAGUCCCUGUCUCUUAUAU
rnacentral:rRNA from 1 species